rnacentral:tRNA from 1 species
GCCCGCUUAGCUUAAUGGUAGAGCGCCAGUCUCAUAAGCUGGUAUGUCUAGGUUCGAAUCCUAGAGCGUGGCA